rnacentral:rRNA from 1 species
UACAGAGGGUGCGAGCGUUAAUCGGAGUGACUGGGCGUAAAGGGCAUGUAGGCGGUUAUGUUAGUCUGAUGUGAAAGACCCGGGCUUAACCUGGGAUAUGCGUUGGAAACGGCAUAGCUAGAGUAUGGGAGAGGGAAGUGGAAUUUCCGGUGUAGCGGUGAAAUGCGUAGAGAUCGGAAAGAACACUCGUGGCGAAGGCGGCUUUCUGGCCCAUUACUGACGCUGAGGUGCGAAAGCAUGGGGAGCAAACAGG